AGUGAACGCUGGCGGCAGGCCUAAUACAUGCAAGUCGAACGGCAGCACAGCAGAGCUUGCUCUGUGGGUGGCGAGUGGCGGACGGGUGAGGAAUACGUGGGAAUCUGCCCAGUCGUGGGGGAUAACGUAGGGAAACUUACGCUAAUACCGCAUGCGCCCUUCGGGGAAAGCCGGGGACCUUCGGGCCUGGCGCGAUUGGAUGAGCCCACGUCGGAUUAGCUAGUUGGCGGGGUAAAGGCCCACCAAGGCGACGAUCCGUAGCUGGUCUGAGAGGAUGAUCAGCCACACUGGAACUGAGACACGGUCCAGACUCCUACGGGAGGCAGCAGUAGGGAAUAUUGGACAAUGGGCGCAAGCCUGAUCCAGCCAUGCCGCGUGAGUGAAGAAGGCCCUCGGGUUGUAAAGCUCUUUUGU
rnacentral:rRNA from 1 species